GGAUGUGAGGACUAUUUACCUGUGACAUCCCGACACCCCAUUGAUUACCAGUCUUGAUCUAGCUGCUGAGGUGGCUGGUUAGGCAGGUGGCUCCUUCCUUUCCACUUUAUAUUUGUCCCUCCCAAUGCCACACUGUCCCAGAGGUUGAUGCUCCCUGGUAGAAGAAGCUGUUCUUCAGCCAGACUGUGCGGAUAGCUGUACUCUCCUGCUAGAACAUCCAAGCAAGCCCCAGGGGUCCAUUUGUGGGGGAAAUUAGGGGAGCCAAGUUUCCAGGGACUAAAAG
ensembl:misc_RNA Gm24441 predicted gene, 24441